AUGGGUGGCUGCUUCUCGCUCGAGGAGCAGCGGCUCCAGAGCAGGACAGGCACUUCGGCUGAAGCUGGUGGACCAGAUGGGUUGAGGAAGUGCAAAUCUGAUUCUAAAGCUAUUUCAAGUGUUCUUGCUCCUCCGAAAGAUGUGGAGGACCUGCAAACAGAAGGAUAUGGAAAUGUCAAUAUUUUCACAUACAACGAACUGCGAGCAGCCACAAAGAACUUUCGGCCUGAUCAGAUUCUUGGGGAGGGUGGGUUUGGAGUUGUUUACAAAGGCGUCAUCGAUGAAAAUGUUAGAAUAGGUUUUCCAUCCAGACAGGUUGCUGUGAAAGAACUGAACCCAGAGGGUUUUCAGGGAGACAAGGAAUGGUUGGCAGAAGUCAACUAUCUUGGGCAACUUAGUCAUGCAAAUCUAGUCGAACUGAUUGGCUAUUGCUGCGAGGGUUCCCAUAGAUUACUUGUCUAUGAGUACAUGGCUUGUGGCAGCCUUGAAAAGCACCUUUUUCGACGGGUUUGCCUUAAUAUGCCAUGGUCAACUCGCAUGAAGAUUGCACUCGGUGCAGCAAGGGGGCUUGAGUAUCUCCACGGAGCUGAGAGAUCCAUCAUCUAUAGGGAUUUCAAGACAUCAAACAUCUUGCUAGACGCGGAUUAUAAUGCUAAGCUUUCAGACUUUGGCCUAGCAAGAACUGGACCUAGUGGAGACCAAACUCAUGUCUCAACUCGGGUCAUGGGAACUUAUGGCUAUGCAGCUCCUGAAUAUGUGAUGACUGGCCAUUUGACAGCACGGAGUGAUGUUUAUGGGUUUGGUGUUGUACUUCUCGAGAUGAUUAUUGGGAGGAGGGCUGUGGACAAGAGCCGGCCGAGCCGUGAGCAUAACCUAGUUGAGUGGGCACGCCCCCUCCUUGUCCACAACCGGAAGCUCUUCAGAAUCAUUGAUCCUAGAAUGGAAGGCCAAUACUCCACCAAGGCUGCCAUUGAAGUGGCCAGCCUUUGCUACCGAUGCUUGAGCCAGAACCCUAAAGGGCGGCCUACUAUGAGCCGGGUUGUUGAAACCUUUGAGGAGGUUCAAAGCAUGCCAGAAUGCCAGGACAUACUCCUGCAGAAUUGUAUGACCGGAUCUGUGACGCUCUACGAGGUCCCAAAGGAACCUGCUGAGCAUGUUGAGACAGAGAAGGCGAAGCAAGAACCAACAGCAAAGACUGAUGCCGUGGCUGUGGCCGUGGCCGUGCCACCGACGAAUGGGAAGCCAGUGCCCCAGAGCAGGAGGACGCGGCCAGCGAACGGCAGGAGCAAGAGCGAGCCGCCUCUGGAGUGCAAGCUGUACAUCCCUUCGCCUGACUCCGACGGGCAUCAGCUGGGGCUGGAAGCCCUGGCAUCACCCCCUUCCAGAAACAGCAGCAGGGAUGAUCCUCCUCCGGUGGACGAAGAUCUGUACAAGAUAUAA
rnacentral:rRNA from 1 species